rnacentral:rRNA from 1 species
AGAAUGACUCUCGGCAACGGAUAUCUAGGCUCUUGCAUCGAUGAAGAACGUAGCGAAAUGCGAUACUUGGUGUGAAUUGCAGAAUCCCGUGAACCAUCGAGUCUUUGAACGCAAGUUGCGCCCGAUGCCAAUAGGUUGAGGGCACGUCUGCCUGGGUGUCACA